CGGACAGGUUACACCUGUACUACACCACAUGACUGAGUUACUGUACGGACAGGUUACACCUGUACUACACCACAUGACUGAGUUACUGUACGGACAGGUUACACCUGUACUACACCACAUGACUGAGUUACACCUGUACUACACCACAUGACUGAGUUACUGUACGGACAGGUUACACCUGUACUACGCCACAUGACUGAGUUACUGUACGGACAGGUUACACCUGUACUACACCAGAUGACUGAGUUACUGUACGGACAGGUAACACCUGUACUACACCACAUGACUGAGUUACUGUACGGACAGGUUACACCUGUACUACACCACAUGACUGAGUUACUGUACGGACAGGUUACACCUGUACUACACCACAUGACUGAGUUACUGUAUGGACAGGUUACACCUGUACUACACCACAUGACUGAGUUACUGUACAGACAGGUUACACCUGUACUACACCACAUGACUGAGUUACUGUACAGACAGGUUACACCUGUACUACACCACAUGACUGAGUUACUGUACGGACAGGUUACACCUGUACUACACCACAUGACUGAGUUAAUGUACGGACAGGUUACACCUGUACUACACCACAUGACUGAGUUACUGUACGGACAGGUUACACCUGUACUACACCACAUGACUGAGUUACUGUACGGACAGGUUACACCUGUACUACACCACAUGACUGAGUUACUGUACGGACAGGUAACACCUGUAAUACACCACAUGACUGAGUUACUGUACAGACAGGUUACACCUGUACUACACCACAUGACUGAGUUACUGUACGGACAGGUUACACCUGUACUACACCACAUGACUGAGUUACUGUACGGACAGGUUACACCUGUACUACACCACAUGACUGAGUUACUGUACGGACAGGUUACACCUGUACUACACCACAUGACUGAGUUACUGUACGGACAG
rnacentral:lncRNA from 1 species